UGUGGAGCCUUGUUUUUACAUUUACAGCAAAGGCAGAGUACAUUUACAUUAAAACUGACGAAAAACAUGUCUUUAGUUCUGAACUACGUUGUUGUUUGCUUGUUUCUGAAAUUGUCGGCUGUUUUUUUAUCCUAAUAUAAUCCUGCUAUUUCCUGUCUAACUGAAUGGCAUCUCAUGUCUGCAGGCAAAUGCAACUACAGUGAAAGAGACACUGGCUAAAUGGGUGAGUCUUAUCCAAAUUAACUUAAGAAACUAGGAUGAUAUACUGUAUGAUUCUGUGCCUUAGACCUGCUUCAGUGGCCAAUUAAAUCUAUUGAUUGUCUUGUUUUAGUUUAUUUGUGAGAAAGAGAAGUUCUGACCUGGUGUUUGUUGGAAAUCCUCUGGAGGAAAAGUACUCAGCUGAGGGAACCUGGAUGGAUGAAGCCUCGAAAAGACUCCCCAAUCUGAAAAAACUAGAUGGUAAAAAUGGGGCAGUAGCAUUUAUUAAGACGUUCUUAAUCCUAACCAAGAACUCAUAUAUGAGCAAAGCAAUAAUUUACUGGUCCUGGCUCUUGUGCAUGUUGAAGUACUUAAGUGUACUUAUUUUAACUCAUUUUUUAAGAUUAUUUACAGUUGACUAUUUUGAUAAGUCAGGUGUGGUCAUUUGAUGUUGGAUGAGCUGAGCAAAAAAAAUGAUUUGUUCAGAAAAUAGAAAACAGAAAAAGUUCAAACAAAGGGCUUUGGAGGGUAAUAAGAGAGCUAAAUCUAGCCCAUGAUCCCUGACAUAGAAAUGUCAUAAACUGAACCAAGUUAGAUGACUGAGUUUAAAAUUUGGUUUAAAUAUCAAUUGAAGA